AUGAAGGAGAUCACGACGAAGAAGAAGACGAAGAAGCCGUCGGUUGUCGUCAGUGCUGGCGAGACUGAUGAGGAGGCGAUGGCGAGGUUUGCUCGGGAGCAUCCGGAGUACGUCCAGGCCGAGCUGGAGCACUACUGGAAGCGUGAGGCGGAGCAGAAGAAGAAGGGGCCGAAGAAGGAGGACGAGGCCGGUCCCUCGACGGUGAUCCCCAUCGAGUCCUCUUCCAAGGAGGACUGGGCAGACUACUCGGAGGAGGAGGAGGAGGAGGGGUGCGAUGACCCGGCGAAGGAGGAGUUCUGGGAGCCGUUCCGUAGCUUCGAUGAGGAGUAG
rnacentral:rRNA from 1 species